rnacentral:lncRNA from 1 species
CGAACAACUACAGUGAACAGUGAUUUAACGACUUUAGCGACUUGUUUUGCAUCUCAAAUGGCAAAUAACAUGUCAGCUGUGUUUUUUACUCGAGUUAAUUUGAUUAAGCCUGUAUUUGUCAACGAUAAUCAUCAAAGUGACACAAUGGCUUCUCCUACACCUCCUACCGUAAUGAGAAGCCCAACAGAAAACCCAGAGAAAAGGAGGAAAGGGAAUAAAGCUUCUGCUUUCUUUAAGAGAGCAUGGAAGGCUGUAAAGCGCCCUUUCCUUUGCUGUGACUGGAACAGAGUGGUUUCCUUUGAACCACAGUCGGAUAUCGAUGAUUUCGAGCAUCUGCCUGUUUCAGGUCCCUCCAGGACCGUCACAGCACAUGCGGACCCUAAGCCGGUGUGGCUGCCAGGCCAGGUCUGUGAAGAACCUCAGCCGUUGAGUGUUCCGGGCCCCUUCAGCAUCAAGCAAACAGCAGAUGUGCCAAAUGCAGAUCCGGCCCGUCCAGAGUCCUCAACGGCCCUCACAGAUCAUGUUGACCCUGAGCAGAUAUCCGGCCCGUCCUGAGUCCUCAACGGCCAAGACAGGUCAUGUUGAUACUGAGCUGGUGUGUCUACCAGGCCAGAUCUGGGAAGAUCCUCAGCCAAUCAGUGUCCAUGGCCUCACCAAUAUUAAGAACAUGACGGAUGCAGAUUCGGCCUGUCCUGAGUCGCCUCCGUCUGUUCAACACCCCUCUAAAAUUGAUGGGACUGAUGGUGAGUCAUCUUGAAUUUGGUUCAUUUUAUUUCUGCCAUCUAAAAACCCAAGAAAGGAAGGAAAGGGAAAAAAGUCUCUGCUUUCUUUAAGAGAGUAUGGAAGGCUGCAACGCGCCUUUUCCUGUGCUGUGACACAGAUAUAGUCCAGCAAUUUACGCCACAACCAGAGCUGGAGGAAGCAAACCCUGAGGCAGUAUGUCUGCCAGGCCAGGUUCCUGAGGAGCCUAAAGAGGCUUCUGGACCCACUCGUGGAUUUGAUUUGUCUGAUUUUGAAGUAGGAGCCGUGAUUGGAGAAGGAGCUUUUGGCCAGGUGUUUGUGGCAUCUCACAAACUUCGUAAAAGUGAAAAGGUUGCCCUGAAGUUUAUCAACAAGAAUGAAGACGACCGUUAUCUUGACAUUGAUGGUCAUUCCACACCUGUGCUUGCGGAAGUGGCAAUGAUGCUUAAGUUGAUGAAUGCUCCGCAAUGUCCAAACAUCAUCGGAUUACACGACUGGGUUGAGUAUGAGAACAACUUCAUUCUCAGUCUGGAGUACGCAGAGUCAUGCCAGACCUUGGAUCAGUACAUCAACGAUACAGUGGACGUUGGUGAAAAGCGAGCACGCCAGUUAAUGUGUCAGUUGAUCCAAGCUGUAAAGUUCUGCACUGAGCGUGGAGUUUUCCAUGGAGAUAUCCACACGGAGAACAUCCUGGUGACUCAACCCCGAUUACAGCUCAAAUUGAUCGACUUUGGUUGUGCUUGGCCAAUUACCAGCGAGCCUUUCAACAGCGAUGAUUAUCGAGGAGCUAUUAUAUGCACGCCACCUGAGAUUUUCAUGGGCCCCAUAUUCCAUGCUGACCCAGUAAACGUCUGGACAAUUGGCAUCGUGCUGUAUGAAAUAUUGCAUGCAGAUUUGCCCUUUGAUGACGAAGAUUCAAUAAUGUUUCAAUCCGCUGAGAUACGCCCCAGGUUAUCUACAGAAUGCCAGGACAUGAUUUCCCAGUGUUUCAUCCGUAAUCCAGUUAACCGGCUAAAGUUACAUGAGGUAGAAGAGCACCAGUGGAUCAAUCCAAAGACCCCAAAUCCUGUGCUGCAGUUAGAAAAGAUGAGAAAACACUAAAGAAGCGAGAAAGGAGAGCAGCAUUUCCAGAAAUUUCACAAGACUAUUAAAGUUAUUAAUUACUCCCUCAUGUCAUUCCAAACCCCUAAGACCUUACUUUUCUUCAGUGUCAGUUCAUGACGUGUGUUGAUGAGAGCUCUGUCCUGCACUGUAUAUGUGCCCACGCUUUGUUUAAAUGAGAGGAAGUCGCGCAGGCCUCUGGGUUAAACGUCAGCAGUGCGACACACAUACAGUGCACUGGGCUCUUCUGAACAUGCGGUUUGAGGGUCAGAGAGCUCUCAGAUUUCAUCUCAAAUGUUUUAAUUUCUGUUCUCAAUAUGAACUAAACAUGAAUAUGAACUAAGGACAUGAGCUGAGUAAUUAAUGACAAUAAUGGUAAUGAAUGGUGCCUAGACCGCAGCUCUGCACAAGACCUUUGGCCACAGGAGAAAUGGUCGUGCCCAACCGAGCCUGGUUUCUCUCGAGGUUUUUUUCCUUCACUUUUGUCAAAUGGUGAAGUUUUGUUCCUCGCCACUGUCGCCGCUGGCUUGCUUGGUUGGGACUUGUGGAGCUGCGCAUCGAUGGAUUUGCUCUUCAGUGUUUGGACUUUCAGCAGUGACAAUUAAACUACACUGAACUGAACUGAACUUCAACUGUGAAAACUGGACUGACACAGUUUCAAUUUACUUCUAUGUUAGGCUGCUUUGACACAAUUCACAUUGUAAAAGCGCUAUAGAAAUGAAGAUGAAUUGAACUGAAUUAAAGAUGAAACUCCAUCAGGAAAUCCAGUGCUGUCAGUUUUCUCCUCUAAAGUGUCAUCAAAGAUCUGCUCAACUAUUUUCUACCUCAUAAAUGAAUCUGGUGUUCUGUCAUAAGAGAGACUGAUUGUUUUAUAAUUAAGUGUUCAUGAUUGUUUCGUAAUGAAUUGUUCUUUGAAUUGUUUUGUGAUGAAUUGCUUUUAUAUAUUGUUAAAAAUUCAGAUAAAACCCUGUGAAUCAAA